AGAACGAACGCUGGCGGCGUGGAUAAGACAUGCAAGUCGAACGGGAUUACUUUUGUAGCAAUACAGAAGUAAUUCAGUGGCGAACGGGUGCGUAACACGUGGGCAAUCUGCCGAAAAGUGGGGGAUAGCUCGCCAAAAGGCGAAUUAAUACCGCAUGUGGUGAGGGACGACAUCUUCCUGAAUCCAAAGCCGGGGCAACCUGGCGCUUUUUUGAGGAGCCCGCGGCCUAUCAGCUAGUUGGUGAGGUAACGGCUCACCAAGGCUUUGACGGGUAGCUGGUCUGAGAGGACGACCAGUCACACUGGAACUGAGACACGGUCCAGACACCUACGGGUGCAGCAGUCGAGAAUUUUCUCAAUGGGGGAAACCCUGAAGGAGCGACGCCGCGUGGAGGAUGAAGGCUUUCGGGUUGUAAACUCCUGUCAUUCGAGAACAAGGUGACGAGUAUUAACUGUACUCGCAUUGAUAGUAUCAAGAAGAGGAAGGACGGACUUAACUC
rnacentral:rRNA from 1 species